AAAGGCAAUAUGACAAAGGAAAGAUCGAUAAUAAUAUUGAAAAAAUACCUUGUGCGAUAACAUUUAAAUUGGCAUCUUUUUUGGUUUGUUAUGAGAUAUCACCGCUUCCACAUUAUUAUUUGUAAAAAACUCGGUGAAUUUUUGGCCCCUUUCGGCGACGUCGCUUCGGAACCCUUGUCGAUGGAUUCUUUUUGUGCAUCUCCAAAAUCCAUAUCUAUGUCUCCUAUAUCCUGAAAAAAUAAUAAUAUAUAAAAAUACACCAUUUGUAUUAUCAUCUAUAACAUACAUACAAAGAAUGGUUAGCUAUAUGCACCUCUUCUCGUGGUGUUUCAGUCCGGUCUGUCAUCGUUAUAUCAGUGCGUAUGUUGGAACCUAUCACUUUCUAUCUUGAAAUAUAAACGAUAUUUUCUACUGCAUCAUAUAAACAUAUAUAAUCUAUACUUCUAUACUACUAUUAAACAAUCAAACAUUUUCUUUUCUACAGUCACCCCAUUAUGUGUAUCUAGACUGAUUUGUGCCGUCAGAUUGUCCCACUUAAUAAGAUCUAACGCCUUAAAUACGUUUGAUCAGAGGCCACGAUUACAUGUACAAUUAGCGUUGACUGACCAUGCUCCACCGAGCGGACAAAAUUUCCCACGCGCGAUCUGGAUCAGGUCCCACACAGUCACCGCUCCGCUAAUCUCGCCCGUAUAUCCGGUAAUCUCUCACAUAUCCGUUCGCCCUCCAAAAACCUUGCCGUCGCUCCCACGCGUAGCACCGGUCCUCCUUCCACCUUCCCCUUCCACCCAUCUGGCCUUCCCGCCCGCCUCUCCCCCGAUCCCCACGCAUCUCCUCCGGUGGCCGCCUUCGGCGAGUGGAAUCUGUUCCUCACUGGCUCGCUGCAUUCUUCCCCUGUGGGGUGUUGGUGUGGGGAUGGGAUCUGACAGGAUCGGGAUGAGGAGGCGGCUGCGAGGUACACGCUCUGGACGCCGCGCGUGUAUGCGCUCAUUGCCGAGGCCGAUGCCGCUCUUUCUGGAGGCUGACGCAGCUCUUACUGGAAGAAAUCCCACGGGGUCAAGCGGGGUGACGAGGGCACCUACAUCCUUUCAUGUUUGGGCGCUGGAGGGCGACGGGAGUCAUCGAUUCGCCGUCUGGCUACUGCACUAGGGGACUGCGGCUGCUACAAAAGAUGCAGCAAUCGAAAGAUGCACAGGUACUUGAUGAGAUGCCACUAAGUCAGUUUGCUAUCUCAGGUUAUAUUGGACGGUAAUUUAUUUUACAAUACAACUACAUCUUUCUUGAAUCAGACUCGGCCUAUUUCUGUGCAAUUUUGUUCUAUAGCUAUUUUUUUUUGGUGGCUUUCUUUGUUUUGCUUUAUGUUGUAUAGUCAGUACAAAACUCAAGCCCCAUCAUCUGACAAUUCUGUAGUAAUGACUGAAACUAUUCGAGGACAAAUCUUCGAUUGUUGUUGUCGUUGGAAAUUAGAGUUGCAUGGUUGGCAUGGUCAACAUGGCAAAGAAAGUAUAGAAGAUUUGCCAAACCAGGUAUGGGCUUGUAGAGUACCUCAGGUAAUCAGAUUCUGCACCCAAAUUUAAUUUUACUUGCUUUUAAAUGAUUCUAGGGCACAUGAUGUUGAUAUGCUAGAUUGUGUUGUAGUUUAUGCUUGUCUGAUUAUGUAUAUUUUCUUACAGAACGUCAUAUUUCUUUUUUGAGAAAUUAUAUAGGUGUAGGCUGAGCAUGGACGUUUGCGCUGUUGUGUGUGUUGAGGUCAAUCUCAGUUUGGUACACAGCAGAGCUAAGGGCGUGCACUUGCCAAAUAUGGUGUAUGUCGGACUUUCCCCAUUUAUUUUUUCUCACACCAUACGAGAAUUAUACAGCUAAAUAUAUCGAGAUUAACAUUAGUUUCCCCUGCUGAAGCUUGUGCAAUUGUAUUUAUGUUGAGCAGAGAAUUGGUCAACAAUAAAGGAGAACAAGAAUUGUAUUUUGUAUUACUAUUUUUAUACAAACUUUCUUCCCACACCAUUAUGUAAUCUUUCCCUUUUUGGGUUGCAGUGUGGUCUCUGCUAACCAGAUUUUAUAUAUGAUCACUGCUAAAUUACAACUUGAUGCCAAA